UAGGGAAUCUUCCGCAAUGGACGCAAGUCUGACGGAGCAACGCCGCGUGAGUGAAGAAGGAUUUCGGUUCGUAAAACUCUGUUGUUAGAGAAGAACAGCGCAUAGAGUAACUGUUAUGCGUGUGACGGUAUCUAACCAGAAAGCCACGGCUAACUACGUGCCAGCAGCCGCGGUAAUACGUAGGUGGCAAGCGUUGUCCGGAUUUAUUGGGCGUAAAGCGAGCGCAGGCGGUCAAUUAAGUCUGAUGUGAAAGCCCCCGGCUCAACCGGGGAGGGUCUUUGGCAACUGGUUGACUUGAGUGUAGACGAGGAGAGUGUACUUCUAUGUGUAGCGGUGAAAUGCGUGAAUAUAUGGAGGAACACCAGUGGCGAAGUCGACUCUCUGGUCUGUAACUGACGCUGAGGCUCGAAAGCGUGGGUAGCAAACAGG
rnacentral:rRNA from 1 species